AAAUAGGCAGUUGUAGAAUGGGGUCAGCCACAAAAAGCCAGAUAUGACGAUGUAUAAAGCGAAAUCGCCACGUAAAAAAGCCAUAGCUUUUCCAAACGCUUUUGCAAAAUGAGGCAUUUUCCUAAAUUCUUAAGGGUGUGGUCAGCAAAGAUUUUCUCCCCUUUGCCCCUCCAAUAAGGUGAAAACGGAAUUUUAAAAAUGGGCGUUUCCAUAAUUUACCAGUGACCUGAAGGGUGUGGCACUAAAAUUAGUUUCUAACACCCCCCCCCCCAAUCAUUGUUGCUUAGAUCCGCCCCUGCAAACCGUGUUUACAAAAAUAUAUUCGAUUGUUUAAAUAAAAUCAUGUUCAUCUGAUGACUUGCAAAUAGGUGUUUCUGCAACUGUAUUAUAAAGGAUCUUCGAAUUUGCAAAAUUAGUGAUCAUUUUUUAUUCAUAUCAACAAACAAAAACAUUUAAUGGGAAGGUGGGAUCUCGUACACAUGGACAGCAGAUUUGAAAAUACGUAACACGUGGUCUUGCGUUGUCUUGCUUAGCAAGAAAAGAGCAUUCAUUAAAAUUCGUCGUGUGAAUGUGAUUCGAAAAGAAACCUUGCAAACUUUGUGCGUGGGUUGAAAACGGCCAUCGAAAUCAAGUUUUGGUCGCCAUAUCUCAAUAAAGUGACAACAUAGUGAGAAUUACUUUAUAAUGAGAAUCGCGGAGAUUCGAAAUAUUUCAACCUGGCAGGGUUACGUGGACCCUGGGACAUCAAAACUGUACAACAUUUCCAAGUAAAAACGGUUUCUCCCCUUUUCAAGGAUGACAUGAAAAAUUCUUCGCGAUGUUCUAAAGGGAGUUCUAUCAGAGAAAGCUUCUGAUGAAAAGGCUAUCUCUUAAACCGUUUUUCGACGACUGCCACAACAAACACGCCAGAUAGUUGAUAGGGUCUCAACUUCUGGAGCUCACAGCGGACGCAAAAUCAAGACCACUUUAUUUUAACUACGCAUGCUCGGAUUUGGGCGCUACGCCCGAGCGCACAAGAAAUGUCAAAUGGAAAUCGGCCUUUAUGCAGCUUGCGUCGCGGCUUGGGCGCAGCUUGCAGACUGAAAUCUCAAGCAGCUUGCAUUUUGAAUGUUACGGCAACACCUUCAAGGAACAGGUGAAGGGAGAUUCAUUGGUUGCAGGUUCGCAGAAGUUGCUCGGGAUAUAUUCUGUGGCGACAGAAAAAACAACUGCGACUAAAGAUUGCUACGUUUUGAAUAAAUUUCGCACGUUAACUGCUCUAUCCAUCUGCCCAGACAAGCCAGGAUGAAUCCGACGAGUUUUGAAUGGAAAAACAGCUUCCAAAAACAUAUUGAAUGAAAAGAAACAGAGUCUACAGCUUAUUAGCAGUAAUGUAACACCAAGAUUGUUUGUCACUCACUGUCCUAAUUUCAUGCCAAAUUCUCUGUUACAAAGCUUUGCAGCAAUAUGCAAGUGCAGCUGGUUUCGUCAGGCUUGAUUUUUCAGAAUCUGCUGGCAAUUUUGAUUUUACUGAAAAAUUAUCCCCGAAAGGCAGUACCCGCCUUGCCUGGCACCGUGAUCUCACCAAAGAUACUCGAAUAGUGACUGGAUAGGAAACUGCGAAGCGGACAAUAGAACAUGUUACGCAUCACUGCUUAUUCAAACUUGUAGGGAAUGAUCAUUUCCGGUUUGUUUGGUUUUGACUGAUAAUGACGAGCUUCGCAGCUAUUCGGCACGGUAGUUAACUGUUGUAGACUUACCAAGAUAAGCUAAUUUGUCCCUUGUUACGUUUUCAACGAAAAAUGAAAGAAAAAAGGAGUGGAGAACGCAGCUUUUGUGUAAAGUAAAAAGAUGCGAUAGGAGUUUCAACGCAGAGAGGGCCUACAUCUGCGCAAGGCAUUUUGAUCAACAUUGCUUUAGGAUCGGAAAGACUGGAAGAAAAGACCUCCUUGUUGGAAGUUUGCCUACACAGUUCUUACAUAAAAGAAGUCAUGAAAAUAACCAAGGGAAACAAAGGCAUGAGCUUGAAAGACUUUUUCAAGAGGUGCCCUUACCAGUGCUUUACAAAUGAAGAGGUUUCA